CCUCACACUGUCACCUGCCUGAUGGGGGCACCAUCCCAAAAAAGACCUAAUACCUGUUAUAACCAGUCUAAGUUUCCGCCUUAACCAAAAUUGAAGUCUGAUAUGUGAAAGGAGUUUUAAAGGGAAAAGCAUAUGUUUGACUUGCAAAAGUAGGGUGUCUGAGUGAUUUUAGCUGGGAUGAAGUGAGACUGAAGAAACCUCAUGGUUAAUGGAGUAAUGUCCAAGCCUGAGCCAGGCAUUGCAAUGGACUUUCCAGUAAAAAACUAUUAGAAGACAAGGAUUUAAUCAACUGACAAAACAACAGUUUGUAUCUAAGCAACACAGGUCACCAAGAAUACAUCACUCCACUCAUAUAAUUGUUUUCCUAUUGAAUAUGGUUAUACAUCAGCUUUCAAUUUUCUUUUUCAAAUACCUCAAGUGUACAAGCUUACGUGACAAAAAAGAUCAGGCUAGCACAACUAUGAAGACAAUUUCCCAUGACAUUGACCUUCCAUCUUGAGGAACAGUGACUUAGAAUGUGAAGAAAAUUAUUGCGGGGUUUGGGGGGAAUUUUUGACUUUGCUUAUUUAGUUUUGUUUUUAAACUCCCAACAAACAAUGAUGAAGAGUUCAUCUGACCGGCCUACAUUUGUCAGUGUGGAACCCUGGGAGCUGGAAAAACUAUCAACUCUGUUGCUUUCAGAAAAAAAGUAGAAUGUAUAAUUUGACUUAUUUUCCUAGAGACUGAAUAGUAAAUAAAUAAAUAAUAAACCUGAACCAUUGAAAGAAUGCAGUAAGAGAGACAGGACCUAUUUCCAUAGAUGCUAAGAUAGUACAGUGAUCAGCAAGAUGUAGCAGGCAAAGCAGCAAAACCACAGUUACUCAAAGAGUAUUUGUUGAAUACCAUCUGUACUUUAGUCUCCUCAUGGUUCAUGUUUUUGAGUAAAAUUGUGAAAAGUUAUUUUGAAUAAAACAAUGCUUAUAUAAAAUUGUUAGUAAUUACUUACUUGUUUCAGUUCUGAGAAAGCUGAUAUUUACACAGGUGACUGAACCACACAAAAUGUGUACAUUGAAAAUACAGUAAAAAGAAACUAAGGGGCUUUUGGAAAAUGACAGACUGUUUAAAUUAUUUUU